AGAGUUUGAUCCUGGCUCAGAACGAACGCUGGCGGCAUGCCUAACACAUGCAAGUCGAACGAAGCCUUCGGGCUUAGUGGCGCACGGGUGCGUAACGCGUGGGAAUCUGCCCUUGGGUUCGGAAUAACAGUUAGAAAUGACUGCUAAUACCGGAUAAUGUCUUCGGACCAAAGAUUUAUCGCCCAGGGAUGAGCCCGCGUAGGAUUAGCUAGUUGGUGAGGUAAAGGCUCACCAAGGCGACGAUCCUUAGCUGGUCUGAGAGGAUGAUCAGCCACACUGGGACUGAGACACGGCCCAGACUCCUACGGGAGGCAGCAGUGGGAAUAUUGGACAAUGGGCGAAAGCCUGAUCCAGCAAUGCCGCGUGAGUGAUGAAGGCCUUAGGGUUGUAAAGCUCUUUACCCGGGAUGAUAAUGACAGUACCGGGAGAAUAAGCCCCGGCUAACUCCGUG
rnacentral:rRNA from 1 species